CAAGAGCUUUCCUGCAAAAAGACAGGGUUUGAAAGAGUAAAGGAGAGAAGAUCUCCCAAAAACAAUGCUUCUGACAAGCAGAAAGGAGCAGAUUUCUCAUGAGGUGCAGUGAGAAAUAAUGAAACUCAAAAAGGAGGACUGAAUUAUAAACAACUUCUUCUCCUUCUCCUCUGGCUCACAAAGAUCACCAUCAGCUGGCUACCAAAUGACAUGACGUUCCUUCUCAUCCUCUGCUGA
rnacentral:lncRNA from 1 species